rnacentral:lncRNA from 1 species
CCUGGAACUUACCUUGUGAGCUUCUCUUUUCUCAGGCAUUGCAGUCUUGUGCUACCUCUUGUCUGUUGCCUGAAAAUGGCUACUUCAUGUAUUUGGCCUGUUGUAAUAGUCGUUUAUGGCAAGAGAGCUCAUCUGGCACCAGUUAUUCUGUUAUGACCCAAAGUGGAAAUCUCUCCCUGUGUCAUUUUGAGUUUCUGGAGGCCACAGUUUAUGGCCAG